GGUCCCGUAGUUCAACGGAUAGAAUAGCGGUUUCCUAAACCGUAGAUAUGGGUUCGAUUCCCGUCGGGACUA
rnacentral:tRNA from 1 species